AUAUCGGAAGACAAUCGAAGAAAGGAAGUGUCAUCUAGGAGGAGAAUCGUUUUCGAGGAAAGUCGUGGUGUGGCGCCCAAAUCGUUUGCAAAAGAGGGUUGUGUUUUUCGGCUGGUCGGUACGUCGUCGUUGGCGUAGAGGUGGUCGUAGAAGAGUUAAGAAGGGCGAAGGGAAGGGGCGGGUGUAGUCAGGCCGUGGUUGUUACGGCGCGAGUGGUACGGUAUCAGUGCGAGGCCGGCUAUCAGCCGCCUAACGUCAAAGUCAAUGGUACGUUUGAACGCGUAUAACGGUACCCACUGUUGCAGAGUGGGUAAUCGCUCAGUGGCUCGUACCGAUCGUACCGGAGCUACGUAUAUUCCCUUUCCGCGUUAAUCAGUCCUACCGUUCAAAGGAAACGUUUUUGAUCCCUCGCAUCGUAGAACAUUGGAAACGAAGAUCCUUUUCCUACCAGAAAAGCGAUCGGCUUUCUACACGCAGCAAUGCGUCGUAAUCAAUAAGGACGAUCGGCGCGCAUGCAUGGCAUCGUCUUAGAGCGAAGGAACAUAUCACGCUCUCUCACAUUCGUUUUACGAUCGGUGCAUAUAAACGAGCUUUGGCCGAUGGUAGGAAGGGAGGAACGGUGGAUAGGUAGAAAGGUAGAUGAAUGAAUAAGCGGUCGAAUUAAAGAACGGAAACAGGUAGAUGGAUGGAUGGAUGGAUGGUUGGAUGGAUGGAUGAGAGGGUGCGAAAGUAGCUUCUUUGGCGAAACGAGUACUAGUGAGAGGGCCAAGUGAGUGAAAUGCGCAGAGCGAGGUGGGAUGAGAGAGAGAGAGAGAUAGCGAGAGAGAGAGAGAGAGAGAGAGAGAGAGAGAGAGCGAGAGGAGAUAGGGGAUAGGAGAUAAAUAAAUAAAAAGAGGCGAGGUAGAACGAACGAAUAUAAUCGUGACUGGAACGUGUAUCGAAGACAUCAAUCCGAAAAUAUUGACGAUCGGUAACUUAAACCAUAAUUUUCCGUGAUUCGAUUCGUUGUGUCGCGUUAUUGCAGUGCCGUGAUAAUACGUAAACGAAUGAUUUUCUCCCGUCGACACUGUUACCUUUAAAAAAGCACAACGUUCCAUCGUUUUGCUCAAGGAGGUAAGAGUGGAAUAUUGAGAUUUAGGGUGUGCUCGAUAAUCAGAAUCAAUCGAAUCGUCAUUCUGUAUCUUCGUUAGGGCGUAAUUCGAUGCUAAAGAAGAAUGAUCCGAUUAAAGCAAAUCAGACUUGACCGAUAUAUCUAAGAAGGAAUACGUCGUUUGAGUUGGAAGGGCAAAGAGGAAACUAAAAAGGAGAAGAGAUAAAAGUUG